ACAGUGAAUAAACACUAAUAAAUUGUACAACAAAAACCCAUUGGAUGGCAACCUCUAAAUCCCACCUGUCUCAACCACAAAAAAAUAAACCCAUAUCUCUACAGACAAGUCAGCAGAACCUUACAACCCGCACAUACAGUAGAAUUACAUUAAUCAUUUUACACCCCUCCCUUAUGCCAAAAGCACUUUCACACAAAGGUCUUGUUGAUGUGACGCAGUCAGUAGGGGGAGAUGUGACUUUAAUGUACAGGUAUUCCUCUCUCUCUGUUGAUAUUAAAGUCUUGUACUCUCUCUCUCACCUUGUCAGAUUAUUUUUGCUGUGUGCAUAGCCAGAGUAUUUUUUAACCCUGUUUUAGAAGGAUGUUCAGAGCUGCGUAUGGACUGUGCGUUUAUUUAUUAUUAUAUAUAGGGAUGGUGCGAUGUGUGACCGUUCAACAGAACCCCACAUCCAUUUUAGCCAACGAGAAAUCUGCAGUGAUAAAUUGUAGUUAUGAUGACAGUAACAUGGAUUAUAUGCAAUGGUAUCAGCAGAAGGAUACAGCCAUGGUCUUGAUCGUGUUCAGUUUCAGUGCUACAAGUGACCCCACGUUUGAGGAUGGAUUUAAAGACCGGACUGAACUGGACAGAACAGAAACACUGAAGGGAGCUCUGAAAAUCUCUGAUCUCAGUUCAUCAGACUCGGCUGUUUAUUACUGUGCUGUCAGUAUGCACAGUGCUGUAGUCUUUAUUACCUGCCUGACUAAAAACCAAACCACCAGACAAACAGGAAAUGCAAUACAUACAAAAGAGGAAUCUAACUUCUGUUUCUUUUUUUUCAGAUUUUCUUUUUCAAAGAUUUUUACUGUUUUACUGUUUUUCCUGAUUUUUCUAUCAGUUUUUAAUUGAAAACAAAAUCAAAUAUAAGCUUUCCUCCAAAACUAGUAGACCUACCUAGACAACAUUUUAAGGCAUCAUGUGUGGUGGCCAAAUUUUACAGUAACAUAUCCUUCACAGAUAACACAAUACCAGGAUGUAUUGCGACAGUAUCUGUGAAACAUCCAAGAUGAUGGAUGCAGUCGAGAGAAAUAUUUCCAAUAAAUACUUACAUUUCAUGCAACAAAAACAGUUUCAGUCAAAUCCACAGCAAAAAUAUUUUGUUGUGUUGUGCCUCUCCAUGCAAAACAUACAUGUAUUAACGGGUUCUGAAUGGAUGAAUUGGUUGAGCAAAUGGUCAUGUAUAAUAUGCCAGACACAUUUCCCAAUAGCUUGAGUUCCAGUGAUUAACCUGCAUUUUAAUUUAUGGAAAACAUCAGAACUGACUUUUUGAAAAUAACUUUGCUCUGAUUUUCUGAGUAAUGAUACUAUAACUUUGGGGAUAUUUUUGUAGUCCUUCAGGGAAAUGUGGCAAAGAUAUUUUCACAAAAGACUGACAUUUAAAUUGAUUUAUAAUACAGAUCUUCAGUUGGGUCUUAAUAAUUUUUACUUUGUUAAAUUUGUACUUUGUAAUAGUGAAAAGAAAGUUUAAAGUAUUGUCUUUGCAACCAGCUAUUGUUAAACUCCACUAGUAUCCACUGAAUCAUGCAGUGUUUGUUGUGUUGAGCAGAGUUGCUUUCCUUAUUUGAAAUUAGUCACUUAAAAGAAGUCAGCCGCUGACGGAGGCAAAGAGCUUUUGAAGCAGAACAAAAGUGUCCUCUUUUUUUCCCCACCAGUGGCAUUGCAACAAAGGAGUGUGACUUCAUAAUACAGUAUAUGAACUACAAUUUUAUUUUUAUUUUUUAUUAACUGAACAUCAGAGAACAUUUCACAAAAAAAAGCAUCUCUGAAUGGAUUGCUUUCUUCUAUUCUCAUUGAUUUGUCUAAAAGGUAUUCAACUUGGAAUAAGAAAUGACAGUGUUGGUUGUGGUUUUAAGUAAAUUAAGAUUGAUAAGGAAAACAUUUCCAGUUUUGUUUAAUAUAUCUUUGUAUUUCCGGCUGUUUUUAGUGAUGGUGUUCUGAUCACUCAAUGGCCAAAGCAUAUAUCCAGUCUUCCAGGCUCUUCAGUGGAAAUGUACUAUUACCAGAAUGAUACAGACUACGAUUACAAAUACUGGUACAGACAAAUAAAAGGAGAGCUAGUGCUUGAUGGGGGCUACAUUGGUAUUUCUUCCUCUAUUGAGGAAGGUUUUGAAAACAAUUACACAGUGUCAAGUACAGAGACUAAUUAAUUGACCCUGAAACUGGAUGUUAAGGAUGGGAUAGAUGCUGUGUAUCUGUGUGCUGCUAGUUUACACAAUAUAUAAAUAAUAAAAAGAAAAAAUCAUCGUGCAGUCACACCUGCCUUAACCAUGAAUAAAUAAACCCAUAUUUGUACAAACCAGUCAGCAGAACCUGACAACUUGCACAUUCAAAUGAAUUAAUCAUGUCACACUCCUCCCUUCCGCCCUUCCUCCCUUCUUCUCUGUCUAUACUAAAGACUCAUACAAUCUCUAUCAUCACAUUAUUUUUGCUGUGUGUGUAACCAGAGUAUUUGUAACGCUGUUGUAGAAGUAUGUUUAGAGCUGCAUAUGGACUGUGCAUUUAUUUCUUAUUAUACAUAGGUAAGAUGUCUUUUGAUAGUAACAUGAACAAAUUAUUAUAAUUUAUCAUUUUCGUUUAUGUUCUUUGCUUUGAAAGAGAACAUCUAUUAAAACAUUUUUGUAUUUUACAGGGAUGGUGAAAUGUGUGAAUGUUCAACAGAACCCAACACCCAUAUUAGCCAGCGCGAAGAAUAUAACAGACAUAAAUUGUAGUUAUGAUGACAGUAGCAAGCCUUACAUGUUAUGGUAUCAGCAGAAGGAUACAGCCAUGGUCUUGAUCGUGUUAAGUUAUGGUGCUACAGGUGUCCCCACCUAUGAGGAUGGAUUUAAAGACCGGUUUGAACUGAAAAGAACAGAAACACUGAAGGGAGUUCUGAAAAUCUCUGAUCUCAGUUCAUCAGACUCGGCUGUUUAUUACUGUGCUGUCAGUAUGCACAGUGCUGUAGUCUUUAUUACCUGCCUGACUAAAAACCAAACCACCAGACAAACAGGAAAUACACACACACACACACACACACACACACACACACACACACACACACACACACACACACACACACACACACACAUACACAACAAAGGCAAUUCAUAGACUAUAUUUUAAAAGGUGCAAUUUCUGUAUUAAAGAGGUCAUAUGAUGCUUUUUUUUUAAAGAUCAUUAUUAUUUGUAUUUGGUGUAACAGAAUAUGUUUAAAUGCUUUAAUGAUCAAAAAAUACAUUAUUUUUCAAAUACUGUACAUUAUUGUAGGUCCUCUAUACCCCGCCUCUCUCAAACGCAUUGUUUUCUUCAAAGUCCAUCCUUCCGACAAGCGUAGUCUGCUCUGAUUGGCCAACUGACCCAGUGCAUUGUGACUGGCCGGACACUGCAAGCACUCAUCAGAAAUGUAACGCCCCCUUCCAUAAUCAUGAGGUUCUUCUUGAUCAUUGAAUUUUGGUACAGCGCACUUUCUAUCAGCUGC
ensembl:lncRNA